ensembl:snRNA U6 U6 spliceosomal RNA
GCUCACUUAGGUUAUACACGAGCUAAAAUUGGAAUAAAAGAGACAAGACUAGCAGACCCCCUAUCCAAAGAUGACAUGUAGAUUUGGAUUUGUGACACAUUUUU